rnacentral:lncRNA from 1 species
GGGGCAUAUGGGGUCAUAAUGCCCCAUAAUGGGGGCUUAUAGGAUCAUAUGGGGUUAUAUGGGGGCAUAUGGGGGCAUAUGGGGGCAUAUGGGGGCAUAUGGGGUCAUAAUGCCCCAUAAUGGGGGCUUAUAGGGUCAUAUGGGGGCAUAUGGGGGCAUAUGGGGUUGUAUGGGGCCAUAUGGGGUUGUAUGGGGUUAUAUGGGGUUAUAUGGGGUCCUAUGGGGUCUUAUGGGGUCAUAUAGCCCCCCUGCAAUGCUCAGUGAAUUGAGGCAGCGGGUCUGCAUCGAGCGCAAACCACUGCGGUUCCUAUCAGAGCGGCUCAGCUCCCUAUUACACACUGCCCCCAUUACUACCCCCAUUUAUGCCCCCAUUACCUUAUUACCCCCAUUAUUCCCCCCAUUAAUGACCCCAUUAAUUAAUUACCCCAUUAAUUAAUUAACCCGUUAAUUAAUUACCCAGGUUCCUGUCCGAGGGGCUCAGCUCCCUAUUACACACUGCCCCCAUUAUUACCCCCUUACCUUAUCACCCCCCCAUGUACUGCCCCCAUUAAUGACCCCAUUAAUUACCCCAUUAAUUAAUUACCAAUUAAUUAAUUAAUGACCCCGUUAAUUACCCAGGUUCCUGUCAGAGCGGCUCAGCUCGUUAUUACAUACUGCCCCCAUUACUACCCCCAUUUAUGUCCCCUUACCUUAUUACCUCCCCCCAUUAUUACCCCCAAUUAAUUAAUUACCCCAUUAAUUACCCCAUUAAUUAAUUAAUGACCCGGUUAAUUAAUUAAUGACCCAGGUUCCUGUCUGAGCGGCUCAGCUCAUUAUUACACACUGCCCCCAUUUAUUCCCCCCUUACCUUAUUACCCCCCAUGUACUGCCCCCAUUAAUUAAUGACCCCAUUAAUUAAUUACCCCAUUAAUUAAUUACCCCAUUAAUUAAUUAAUGACCCAGGUUCCUAUCAGAGCGGCUCAGCUCCCUAUUACACACUGCCCCCAUUGAUAGCCAUUGCCUUAUUACCCCCCCAUUAUUCCCUCCCAUUAAUUAAUUACCCCAUUAAUGACCCCAUUAAUUAAUGACCCCAUUAAUUAAUUAAUUACCCCGUUAAUUAAUUAAUUCCGCAGGUUCCUCUCAGAGCGGCUCAGCUCUCUAUUACACACUGCCCCCAUUAGUACCCCCAUUUAGGAUCCCCUUAUUGCCCCUCUAAUGUAUUGCCUCCCCAUUAAUUACCCCAUUAAUUAAUUAACCUGCUAAUUAAUUAACCUGUUAAUUAAUGACCCAGGUUCCUAUCAGAGCGGCUCAGCUCCCUAUUACACACUGCCCCCAUUAUUACCCCCAUUUAUCACCCCCUUACCUUAUUACCCCCCCAUGUACCGCCCCCAUUAAUGACCCCAUUAAUUAAUGACCCCAUUAAUUAAUUACCCAGUUAAUUAAUGACCCAGGUUCCU